rnacentral:rRNA from 1 species
AUGAUGGGAAUUUAAACCUCUUCCAGAGUAUCAAUUGGAGGGCAAGUCUGGUGCCAGCAGCCGCGGUAAUUCCAGCUCCAAUAGCGUAUAUUAAAAUUGUUGCAGUUAAAAAGCUCGUAGUUGAAUUUCUGCUGCAUUGCUUGUGUCCCUCUGGGGUCUGUGCAUGUGGCUUUUUUCGGACGGAGUUUCUUUGUCUGAAUGUUUACUUUGAGAAAAUUAGAGUGCUCAAAGCAGGCUUUCGCCUUGAAUAGUUUAGCAUGGAAUAAUAAAGUAGGACUUUGGUUCUAUUUUGUUGGUUUUAGGUACCAAAGUAAUGGUUAAUAGGAACAGUUGGGGGCAUUCGUAUUUAACUGUCAGAGGUGAAAUUCUUAG